AUGCAGCUUAAGAAGCUCUUGAUCCAGGCGUCCUUGAGUUUGGGCUCCUGCUUCAUAAAACAUCCUCCACCAACAAGCAGCGACAGGUCGCCAUGGUGGGGCAUCGUGAGUGUGUGCAAGAGGGAAGGCAUUUCCAUGGUGAUCGGCGGCUGGCUGACCUGCAUUUCAAAUACAAACGCAUGCGUCUAUUCUGAUAUAACCUACAUUUCCUGGGAAAGGAUCCUGGCCUCUUCUACCCUGGAAUCACAAAGCUGUCACUGCAGUCUUCCAUGUUGAAAUUUAGACAAGAGAACAACGCCUCCUUAUGCCUUUCCCUCAGGAAUAAUCUCCGGACUCUCAAUGGCAGAGAUGUUGUCACGGAAACCAGUCUGGCAGCCACUUUAGAACCGUCAACAUGCAUGACAGCUAAUUUUCUACCCUGAAUUUUUUUACUUUUAAAUGAAUUAAAUAGCCAUUGAUUCUCAAAGAAUAUGACAUAAAUGUCUAACAAGCUUAGUUGAACUGUCUUACCCAUCAGAACCCCAACUAUAUGCUUGCUUUAGACAAUUGUUUGUAAACCAAAUCAUUGUAAACAAUGUAUAGCUUCAAAACAUGAUUAAAACUAUGAUUUUGAUCUCUUGUAUAGUCAGUCCUUGCAUCCAUAGCUCCAUCUAUGAAUUUGAGAGUUGUUACAUUUCUCCAGCCCCAUCACUCAGCUCUUUAGCAAAAAAAAUGUUGUUGUGGCCAUUUUGGUGUUGUUUGAAUCCCAGAUUGCCCCUUUAAUAGAACUGCUAGCAUUGACAUGUGAAUGGAGAAAAUGAAGGCCAUAACUGGCCGCUGACAGUCACAGACAUAUCACUAUAUACCGCAGACAGAGGGAAAUAUUCAACACUGUAAAUGUGUGGGUGGCAGAAACCUUGAAUGUCCAUCAUGUCUAACGCGAUGUUUCCAGUAAUUCAGCCAUAGCAAUUAUCAUGUGAAUCAAAGCUGGGCCAGUACAGUCCACAGGUUUAAUGUAAAAACUUACAUGUUAACCAUGUUCAAUCUUUAAUGUCACAGAGGUUCAAAAGGUUAAGAUCAAAAACAACGUCAGGAGAAUUUCACAAGAGGAAAAUCGAAUUCCCACUAUACGGUUAUUGGCGGGUAUAGUCCUCUAUUAUGUAAGACAGCUCUGGUAGUAGGCCUAACGAUCGCUAAUAGUCAGGUUACAAUGCAUAUAUUCAAAAAUAUUCCAGAGGGAUUCACUGACAAGGAGGUAUAUAUGUGGUUACAGGUUAGUCUCAU
rnacentral:lncRNA from 13 species